rnacentral:rRNA from 1 species
UAGGGAAUCUUCGGCAAUGGACGAAAGUCUGACCGAGCAACGCCGCGUGAGUGAAGAAGGUUUUCGGAUCGUAAAACUCUGUUGUUAGAGAAGAACAAGGACGUUAGUAACUGAACGUCCCCUGACGGUAUCUAACCAGAAAGCCACGGCUAACUACGUGCCAGCAGCCGCGGUAAUACGUAGGUGGCAAGCGUUGUCCGGAUUUAUUGGGCGUAAAGCGAGCGCAGGCGGUUUCUUAAGUCUGAUGUGAAAGCCCCCGGCUCAACCGGGGAGGGUCAUUGGAAACUGGGAGACUUGAGUGCAGAAGAGGAGAGUGGAAUUCCAUGUGUAGCGGUGAAAUGCGUAGAUAUAUGGAGGAACACCGAUGGCGAAGGCAGGUCACUGGGCCAUUACUGACGCUGAGGAGCGAAAGCAUGGGUAGCGAACAGG